UUGUGCUUUCUAUCCAGGUCUCUCUUCCACGUACCAACGGUUUCUGUAGCUAAAGCCCAAAGAGAGACGGGAAUGGAUUACUGCGCAUUGUUUGUAAAUCCCAACGCCACCUCAGUCUCUGUUUUUCCGAUUACUAUUAUCAAAUCCGUUAGAUUCAAGUACCCAUGUUUCCUCAGACAAGCCCCCGUCUCCGCAAACCUUUCUAUUACCUACGACGACGAAGCUACCAACAAGAAAUCCUCGGUUCACCACGACAGUCUCAGAGUUCUCGAAUGGGGCAGUCUCUGCGACGCCGUCGCAUCCUUUGCCGGCACUUCCUUGGGCCGCGAAGCUACCAAAGCCCAGCUGUGCUCUCUGAACCAGACGUACGAGGAAAGCCUGAGGCUUCUGGAGGAGACUAAUGCGGCCGUUGAAAUGCACAAGCACGGUGGUUGCAGGUUGGACUUCGGUGGCAUCGACGCAGUUCUCGUGAAAUCUGCUAUCCUACAAGCACGGAGAAGUUUACCGGUGGAUGGGAAUAAGGCGAUGGCGGUUGCAGCUCUACUACAGCUUGCUGAUACUCUGCAGUUUAAUCUAAAAGCUGCAAUCAAGGAAGAUGAAGAUUGGUACAGACGCUUCAUGCCUCUCACAGAAGAUAUAAUGGGAUUGGUUAUAAAUCGAUCAUUAGUGAAAUUCAUAUUGCAAGUAAUUGAUGAAGAUGGCUCGGUUAAAGACUCCGCGAGUUCAAUGCUGAAACAUGCACGCGAUCGAGUGAGGAUGCUUGAGAGAAAGAUAUAUCAUUUAAUGGAGAGCCUAAUUAGGAAUGAAAAGAGUGAAGCAUCGUUUCUGGAAGUGAGUAACAUUGACGGCCGGUGGUGUAUAAAAUCAGUGGCUGAUCGACUGACAAGUUUUAAGGGUCUACUGUUAUCCAGUGGUUCAGUCACAGGAAGCAUUGUAGAGCCACUCUCUGCCGUUCCUUUGAAUGAUGAACUGCAGCAAGCAAGGGCAUCAGCAGCAAAGGCUGAGGCAGAUGUACUCUCAAUGCUAUCAGAAAAGAUGCAAAUGGAUCUUGAUGAAAUUGAACAGUUAUUGGACAUUAUAAUUCGGCUGGAUGUGGUCAAUGCUCGAGCAACCUAUAGUCUUUCAUUUGGAGGCACGUGUCCUGAUUUAUUUCUCCCAGAAGGCAACGGCACUUCUGGUUCUGUUGCAUCCAUAUCAGGGACCAAAUCUUCAAAGGCAGCUUACCCGAUUAAGAGGGAGUGGACAUUGUAUCUGCCAAAAGCUUAUAACCCUUUGUUGCUUCAGCAGCACCGGCAAAUUUUGCAGAAGGCCAGGAAGGAUGUCAGUAAUGCUACUAAUGAAAUCAGGAGGCAAAAGCAAGGUGAGAUUAUGUCACGAAAGGGAGAUGCAGAUAUAGAUCUUUUAUCCUUAGAAAUGCAGGUUACUGCUCUAGAACAAGCUCAACCAGUUCCAGUUGACUUUUUUAUAGAUCAUAAAACUCGGGUCUUGGUCAUAACUGGCCCCAAUACCGGAGGCAAAACCAUUUGCUUAAAGACUGUUGGAUUGGCGGCUAUGAUGGCUAAAUCAGGUCUUCACGUUUUAGCUUCUGAAUCUGUAAAAAUCCCUUGGUUUGAUGCUGUUUUUGCUGACAUUGGGGAUGAACAGUCCCUGUCCCAGUCUUUGUCUACCUUCUCUGGCCACUUGAAGCGAAUAAGUGACAUUCAAUCGCACUCAACAAGUCGGUCAUUGGUGCUACUAGAUGAAGUUGGUGCGGGAACCAAUCCUCUUGAAGGUGCAGCAUUGGGGAUGUCAUUACUGGAGUCUUUUGCUGAAACUGGUGCUUUGUUGACAAUAGCUACGACACAUCAUGGCGAACUCAAAACCCUGAAAUACAGUAAUGACGCCUUCGAAAACGCAUGCAUGGAGUUCGAUGAAGUCAACUUGAAACCAACAUUCAAGAUUCUCUGGGGUGUACCAGGACGUUCAAAUGCAAUCAAUAUUGCUGAAAGGUUAGGACUCCCCAGUGCAAUUGUAGACAAUGCUCGUGAACUAUAUGGUGCAGCUAGUGCCGAGAUAGAUGAGGUCAUAACUGAUAUGGAAAGGUUCAAGCAAGAUUUCAAGGAGCAAUUAGAGGAAGCGCAACAUCAUGUGCUGCUCUCAAAGGAUCUUUAUGAAAAUCUGUUGGUCGCAAGAAGGAAGAUAAUGGAACAUAGCACUGAUCUAAGAUUAAGGAAGAUGCGUGAAAUAUCCGAGGCUGCAGCAGUGGCACGUUCUAUUCUUCACAGGAAAGUGCGACAGCAUCGUGCAUCUGUAAUUCAAUCUUCACAGCCAAAUCCAGCUGAUAAAAGCCGGCAUUCAUUGGGAAUUAAUGGCCAGUAUAACACAGCAGAAUACAGUGAACCUCCUAUUGCAUCUAAGUGUGCAUCUUUUGUUGAAGAUAUUAAGAAAUCACCAUCAGAGAAGUCUCAGCUUCCUAAGAUUGGUGAUAUAGUGUAUGUUUCUUCUCUUGGGAGGAGGGUGACAGUUUUAAGAGUGGAGCCAUCUAAAAAUGAAAUAGUUGUGCAAAGUGGUAACAUGAAGCUGAAGUUAAAGCUCAAUGAUGUUCAGACAUGACUAACAAGGUUUGUGAAUAGCCUUCUGAAUAUGUAAGCUUUUUUCUUCUAGUGCAAAGCAUUUAUAUGGCCUUUUGUGUCCAUUCCCUGUCCAAAUGAGCAAAACCACAUUGCCAGGUCUAGUAUUGGUUCUGUUUCACCAUAAAUUAGUCAGCAACUCAGAAGUGGUUAACAGAAUCUAUCAGCAAGGAAAGGGUGACCCUCACCAUGGAUUUUGGAAUUCAUGUAUCUCAUAUUUUCAGCCAUGCUCCAAAGAUAUUAUGGAUCUAUAAGUUUGAAUUUCUGCUACCCUUUCUGAAUUGGAUCUUUCUCCCAUUGUCGGAUCUCAGCAACUUGGUCAUGUUGAUGUAUAUUCUUUCUACCACUCAUAUGUAUGUAUGUAUGUAUGUAUGUAUGUAUGUAUGUAUAUGUAUAUAUGUUGCACAUGGAGGUAUCGUCUGACUUGUAUGUCAAGCCUUAUGGGAAGGCAGAUCGUGUUGGAUACCCUUUUUAUCUGGUGUACUCAAGGAGCGGGACCAUUGGAAGAACUUUUAGAUAGAUGGCCAGAAACUUUCUGAAAUGAAAUUUGAAUUUCUAAAACCAGAUGUUUUAAUACUUCAACGAGGCAAUUCAUAGUGCAAAGAUAUCCUUGGCAAUGCAAACCCAUAUGCUAGUGGAGGCUCCACAAGAUCAGGAAAAAAAAAAAAAACUGUGACAUCUCGGAGAUCUAAAGAAAAGGUACAGUUGGUUUUGUUACCGUCGCUGCAUUUUUGGUAAGGCGCGCAUGCGAUUUGCUGGAAAGAUUUAUCAAAGAAAAGGAGGGAAGGAAGAAUUAUAAUUCUCGUUGGGGAUGACUGAGAUCCCUAUUCAUGCAUAUUUGGGAUGGUACUUGUAUAUAUACAAGCUAGACGCACCAGCAUUAAGUUGUUUGCAUUUGUAUAAGUUAGCUUUUUGUAUCAUGUGAGUAGGAAACAGUUUCUUUCCAUCUUUUUCUCAAAGGAAACAAUAUAACUACAGUUUUUUA